rnacentral:rRNA from 1 species
UACGUAGGUGGCAAGCGUUGUCCGGAAUUAUUGGGCGUAAAGCGCGCGCAGGUGGGUUAUUAAGUCUGAUUUAAAAGCCCACGGCUCAACCGUGGAGGGUCAUUGGAAACUGUUAGACUUGAGUGCAGGAGAGAAAAGUGGAAUUCCUAGUGUAGCGGUGAAAUGCGUAGAGAUUAGGAGGAACACCAGUGGCGAAGGCGACUUUCUGGACUGUAACUGACACUGAGGCGCGAAAGCAUGGGGAGCAAACAGG